rnacentral:lncRNA from 1 species
AAGGCCGAAACAUAAAAAAAAAAAUCUCUCGCAAGAGAUCUAACCCAAGUCACCCUCAGAUCUUACGCCCCCUCUUCACCCGCUGCCUCAUCCGAGCCUGGAGCCGCGCCGCUUCCGUUCUCUCCGACCAUCAGGUCUUUCCCCUCUGGGUCUUCUGAACACGUCGGAAGGAAGCACGCGGAUUUCAGGUCAGCCAGGAUGAGA